AACACACAGACCAAAACCAAAAACGCACCCAUGCACAGAAUUAGACAACCCCCGGCACAGCCGCCCGAGCUAACGCCGCCGCGGAUCCGGGAGGGCUCCCCGACCUCCACCCCUCGCUCCGGCGCGCAGCCGGCAACCACCGUCUCGGGCUCCCCAGGCCGCCCGCGGCUCCCAGCGCCCCUGCGGCAGCGCCGCCAACAGCGCUCGCCGGCGCGCUCGGGCCCCCGUGCGCGGAGCGAAACCCAGCGCGCCAGCAGUUUAACGGGAAAAACACAGGGAACAGCGCAAGGGAGAGGAAAGUUCAAGGAAUCACUAAUCUUGAAAGACACUACUAUAAUGCAGAAUUGAGAUUACAAAUAUGGAGCUGAACAAAAAAAUUGUUGCUUUUUAUCACCACUGGGAAGCCUGGAUUAUUGAAGCUCACUCCAUGACGGCAGGAAGAGAACCCCAAAAUGAAGUUUCAAAACUGGGGGGCGGUGAAGAACUGCAGGAGUUUCACCGCCUUGAGUAAUGUUUUACCUUUGUUUCACUAUUUAUUCAUCACAAGUGAAACAUCUGCCACGAGACUUAACUUUCCAUGUUUUCAAGAAAGUCACAUUCAACACUCUCUUCAAGCUGUUGCAAGAUCUUUAUGCCAUUACUGCCAAGGUAGUCCACAGAGAGAGAUGCAGAAGUGUGAGAAUUCUGGGACUCACUCCCCUUUGCUGUAAAUGCAUAACAUAGAGUCUUGAAGAAGGGUACAAGUUGGGUGAUGCUAGAUAUAGAGUGGAAGUCCAAAAGAGGAAACUUGUGCCUUUGGGAAAUUCUCUCAUUAGUACUGUUGGUUUCCUGUAAGCACACAAAUCAAGAUUUACUUAGGGUUUUGCAUUAAGACAGCAUGUUCUUCUACCGCGUAUAGUUCAUUUGAACCCUGUACUAGACACUUGUUUUCAUACUGAGAGACCCAUAGCGUACAAUUCCACCAUGACAUCAAUUGUAUAAUUGGUAUACCAAGUUAUUUCUAUAUUCAGAUUUGAGUUGCCUUUAAAAGAAAGUCUUACAAGUUCAGAAGACUGCAAAUUCGGACUAGCCUUCAAAAUCAGAAUGAGACAUCCAACAACAACAGAAUAUGGAGAUUACAGAUAGCUUGUAACAGUAUCCCUGAGAAAUCCUAAUGCCUCUGUUCUUUUUUUCUAGAAGUAUUAAUGCUAAACCUUAAUGGUAAUUUAAAAUGCUAUAUGGUUUACUCUGCUAAAGAACAGCAUGCUCUUUUUAGAGAUACCUGUAUCGUCUGAGACAAAUAGUUUCUCACUUGGUGGUUAUGGGCAGAUUUAAGGAAGCAACAGGAAACUACCACUCCACAUCCAAAAGCAAUUUGGCAUCUACAAGAUACAUGUGUGAAAGCAGGCAGAUCAUUUUUAAAAGCCUGAGGAAUCUUUUAUUAUAUCUAAAAACCUCUUACCUACCUUACUUUUCUAAGCAAGUGACAAGAUUUUAAGUUAACGGAUUCCAUACAAAUAAAAUAUGAUUUAAGAGUAGUGUUCUUUCUUUACCCCAUAUUUCUUCUUUAGCAGAUCCAUGAUUCUUAUAAUGUGUGGUCUGCAUUCUUGAUUAUUUUCUAUCAGAUGAGAAUUCACCGUACAUGCCUCUGUGUCAAUCUCUGGGACAAAUGCCCAUUUGUACCUGAAACAAAUGGAUUACACUGUUAAGAAUACAGACAGAAGAAUUUGUUUCUUGGAUCAUACAUAGUAUAGUAGAGCACUAGUUUGUUUACAGUAACCAGCUGUCAUAACUUAUUUCAUGCUGCUACCAGAGCUGAACUUAAUUAUCAGGGAAGUUACUCUCAUCUCAGCACUGAAAUGCAAUUGACUCCAAAUAUUCCCAGGUGUGUGUGUAAGGAAAACAAAGAACAGCGUGCCUGUGUCCUUCUCCCAGUUCUCCCAAGUGAGAGGAGAAACUCCUAGUGAGGCUAGUGAAAUCUUCUUACAUUAACAAGACAGAAUUGUUUUUCAAAUACCCAAAUUGCAUUUGUCCUAACAUCUGUACUUGUAGAAAGAACGCAUGGCAAAAUUUUUUAUAGAACAAAAUAUAUAUGGAAUUACUUUAAAGAAUAAGGACAGCAACAAACUCCAGAACAGACAGGCAAUUAGAGGACUUACAUCUGAAAUAACUGCAUCCUGUCGGAUGGAAAUGAAAGUGCUGUAUCCAAAAAUUUACAAGCCGAUAAAUACAAGGACAGCUCAUUCUGCUGUAUGUCAGAAAGUAAGGAACCACUGCCAUCACCCGAUACUUUCUGUCUGCUUAUUUUGCUGUUGCUCCUGUGUUACAGUUAAGAAAUGCAUUAUUAAAACAUACAAAUCACAGAAUUGUCGAGGUUGGAAGGGAUUUCUGGAGAUGGAGUCUAACCCCCCCUGCUUAAGCAGGGUCAACUAGAGCAGGCUGCCCAGGACUGCAUCCAGAUGGCUUUUGAGUACCUCCAAGGAUGGAGACUCCACAACGUCUCUGGGCCACCUGUUCCACUGUUCAACCACCCUCACAGUGAAAAAGCUUUUCCUCAUGUUCAGAUGGAACUUCCCAUGUUUCAGUUUGUGACCACUGCCUCUCACCCUGUCAUGGGGCACCACUGAGAAGAGUCUGGUUCCAUCUUCUUUACGCUCUCCCUUCAGACAUUUAUAUGCACUGAUAAGAUUCUCCCUCAAUUUUCUCUUCUCCAGGCUAAACAGUCUACUGUCCACUAAAUGGUUUUCAUUCAACAAAAGGGGAAUGUACCUGUGCACACACAUUGAAAGCUUUAUUUUCAUUCUAUUAGCACUGAGAUUAAUAUAAAAGGCUAUUAGCAGAAACAUAUCUAAAAAAAAGGAAAAAACAAAACACUGUAAAAUAUUCAAAUGCUGAUUUAGCAUUUUUUCUAUUUUUUGUAUGCAACUAGUAAGCUUCCAUGUUAGAACAUAUCAUUAUUUUAGCUGCUGAAAAGAAUCCCUGAACUAAGAUUCAUCAGUGCCAGAAAUACGCAAGCACAAUUAGCAAAAGUUGUCAUCUCUCCCCUAUCCCAGAAAACGCAAACAUUGCAGCAAGAGAAAAAGCACAAUCAAUACUAGCUUUCACAAGUUCUUUAUCAGAUAAAUGGCAAUUCUUACUUUGAUGGUUCAUCUUCCUCAUUUAAAUCUUCUUCCAGCUGUAGAAACGUCUGAAUCUUUAAAUAAAUAAAUAAUUUAUGGGAACAUUAAAAUGUUCAUACAACUCAGGCACAAAAACAUGUUUCAUAUGGUAUGAGGAAUCAGACUUAGUUUACUCUAUGACUUGCAGCAAGCUAAGAAGUCAUGCAAGAAACUAUGUUAGCAAUAACAACAAAAAUCAAUCAAAAAAGAUAUUUCUUAAUGACAACAUUAAUUCUUUUCCCAAAUUAUCAAACUAAUGUAGAGCUACGAAAACACUUCCUUUUUCAAAUAGGGUGUACUUGGGAGAAAGGCAAAGGGGAAUGGGGAAAAAAGAAACGUUAACUAGUUUCAAGUUACUUAUUUCUUACCAGUUCAGUUACCAUAAUUGGCCACAAUGAGGUUAGAUGCUGAGGAGAAAUCCUUAACAAAAGAACUCUGAAGAAGAGAAACAUCUGUGCAGCAACUAUAGAAGUCUGCCCAACACGAAGGUUCUCAGUCAGUCGUUCUGAAACAAAGAUUAAAAAAAAAAAGUAUUGUUUUCCUGAACGUGCAUUAUUUUGGGAAAUCAAAAAUGUAGAAGAUGGCAGAAUAAAAUUUGUGUUUUAUCAUUA